GAUGAACGCUGGCGGCGUGCCUAAUACAUGCCAGUCGAGCGAAAAGACGAGGAGAUUGCUCCUCUGACGAUAGCGGCGGACGGGUGAGUAACACGUGGAUAACCUACCUAUAAGACAGGGAUAACUUAGGGAAACCGGAGCUAAUACCGGAUGAAAUAUUGAACCGCAUGAUACAAAAGUGAAAGAAGGUUUUGAUGUCACUUAUAGGUGGAUCCGCGCCGCAUGAGCUAGUUGGUAAGGAAACGGCUUAACAGGGCAAAGAUGCGUAGCCGACCUGAGAGGGGGGUCAGCCACACUGGAACUGAGACACGGUCCAGUCCCCUACGGGAGGCAGCAGAAGGGAAUCUUCCGCAAUGGGCUAAACCCUGACGUAGCACCGCCGCGUGGGUGAUGAAGUUCUUCGGAUCGUAAAACUCUGUUAUUAGUGAAGAACAAAUGUGUACGUAACUAUUCACGUCUUGACGGUACCUAAUCAGAAAGCCCCGGCUAACUACGUG
rnacentral:rRNA from 1 species